UACGUAGGGCGCAAGCGUUGUCCGGAAUUAUUGGGCGUAAAGAGCUCGUAGGCGGCCUGUUGCGUCCGCUGUGAAAUCCCGGGGCUUAACCCCGGGCGUGCAGUGGAUACGGGCAGGCUAGAGGCAGGCAGGGGAGAACGGAAUUCCUGGUGUAGCGGUGAAAUGCGCAGAUAUCAGGAGGAACACCGGUGGCGAAGGCGGCCCGCUGGACCCUUUCUGACGCUGAGGCGCGAAAGCCAGGGGAGCGAACGGG
rnacentral:rRNA from 1 species